UACGAAGGGGGCUAGCGUUGCUCGGAAUCACUGGGCGUAAAGCGCACGUAGGCGGAUCUUUAAGUCAGGGGUGAAAUCCUGGAGCUCAACUCCAGAACUGCCCUUGAUACUGGGGAUCUUGAGUCCGGAAGAGGUGAGUGGAACUCCGAGUGUAGAGGUGAAAUUCGUAGAUAUUAGGAAGAACACCAGUGGCGAAGGCGGCUCACUGGCCCGGUACUGACGCUCAUGUGCGAAAGCGUGGGGAGCAAACAGG
rnacentral:rRNA from 1 species